UUUUAUUUGAGAGUUUGAUCCUGGCUCAGGAUGAACGCUGGCGGCGUGCCUAACACAUGCAAGUUGAGCGAUUUACUUCGGUAAAGAGCGGCGGACGGGGGAGUAACGCGUGGGUAACCUACCCUGUACACACGGAUAACAUACCGAAAGGUAUGCUAAUACGGGAUAAUAUAUUUGAGAGGCAUCUCUUAAAUAUCAAAGGUGAGCCAGUACAGGAUGGACCCGCGUCUGAUUAGCUAGUUGG
rnacentral:rRNA from 1 species